rnacentral:rRNA from 1 species
UUUAUGGAGAGUUUGAUCCUGGCUCAGGAUGAACGCUGGCGGCGUGCCUAAUACAUGCAAGUCGAGCGAACAGACGGGGAGCUUGCUCCCCCGACGUUAGCGGCGGACGGGUGAGUAACACGUGGGUAACCUACCUAUAAGACUGGAAUAACUCCGGGAAACCGGGGCUAAUGCCGGAUAACAUGUUGGACCGCAUGGUCCUACAGUGAAAGACGGUCUUGCUGUCACUUAUAGAUGGACCCGCGCCGUAUUAGCUAGUUGGUAAGGUAACGGCUUACCAAGGCAACGAUACGUAGCCGACCUGAGAGGGUGAUCGGCCACACUGGAACUGAGACACGGUCCAGACUCCUACGGGAGGCAGCAGUAGGGAAUCUUCCGCAAUGGGCGAAAGCCUGACGGAGCAACGCCGCGUGAGUGAUGAAGGCCUUCGGGUCGUAAAACUCUGUUAUUAGGGAAGAACAAAUGUGUAAGUAACUAUGCACGUCUUGACGGUACCUAAUCAGAAAGCCACGGCUAACUACGUGCCAGCAGCCGCGGUAAUACGUAGGUGGCAAGCGUUAUCCGGAAUUAUUGGGCGUAAAGCGCGCGUAGGCG